rnacentral:lncRNA from 1 species
UCCCUCUUUUUCUCCCUUGAUUUUUCACACACACACUCCUCUCUUUUGGGCAUCAAACCUGAUCCAUAUCAAGUCUCUCAAACCAUCCCAUAAGUCCUUGAUUUAAAUAGGCAAAAGAGAGUUAAAUAUUGAUUAGGAGAUAAGAGUCCAAAGAUACUAGGACUCUUGCAAUUUUGAUAACGCCCACCCCACAUCCUUUUCACCCAGGUUUCUCAUAGGAAUUAAGGGGAUUUCCUAAGGCUCUUUCAUGCUAAAAAGAAGUGGAGAGGUGACAUCCAAACUGGUUUAACGUGGGACCUCCUUU